rnacentral:rRNA from 1 species
UACGGAGGGAGCUAGCGUUAUUCGGAAUUACUGGGCGUAAAGCACACGUAGGCGGCUUUGUAAGUUAGAGGUGAAAGCCUGGAGCUCAACUCCAGAAUUGCCUUUAAGACUGCAUCGCUUGAAUCCAGGAGAGGUGAGUGGAAUUCCGAGUGUAGAGGUGAAAUUCGUAGAUAUUCGGAAGAACACCAGUGGCGAAGGCGGCUCACUGGACUGGUAUUGACGCUGAGGUGCGAAAGCGUGGGGAGCAAACAGG